rnacentral:lncRNA from 1 species
AACCCUUUAAUUCAUAUUUGUUCAUAAAAAAUAAAUUUCUUUUUUGUUACUUUUUCUAUUUUUUCCCUUUAUUCUACUAAUUAUAUUUUUUUUUAUAUUUUAUAUUUUACUUUAUUAUUAUUAUUUUUUUUAAUACCUUUUGAUUAAUUAUUUAUAAAAUGAAUCCCCUUUUUGUUUUUUUUUUGUCUUUAUGUACUCUUUUAUUUUUUUAUUUUUUUAUUUAUUUAUUAUGAUUAUUAUUUAAUAUCUUUUGAUUAUUUUUUUUUAACAAACUGAAUCACUUUUGUUACUUUUUUUUUUUUAUAUAAUUUUUUUAAAAGUGUUUUUAAUACCCUUUGACUCAUUGUUUUUUAAUAACCAUUGAUUUUUUUAUUCUUUUAUACUCUUCGAUUUUAUUUUUAUAAUGUUUUACAAAUAAGUCUCCCAAAAUAGUAUUUAAAAAAAAAGAAUUAAAGGGUACUAACACAAAUAAUAAUUAAAAAAUGAAUCAAAGGGUAUUAAAAGAAUAACAAAAUACAAUAAAAAAAGUAACAAAAAGGUGAUUCGAUUUUUUGUUAAAAAAUUCAUCAAAUGGUAUUAAAGAAAAAAUAUAAUAAAAGUAAAAAAAAAUAUAAUAGUACAUAAAAAAAAUAAACAAAAAUAACAAAAAGGGGAAUCAUUUUUUUAAUAAAUUAAUCAAAGGGUCUUAAAAGAAAAUAAUAAUAAAGUAAAAAAAAUAGAAGAGUUACAUAAAGAAAAAAAAUAAAAAAAUAACCAAAAACGGGAUUCAUUUUUUUGUUAAUAAAAUUAAGAAAGUGUAUUUAAAAAAAAAUAUAAAAAAAAUAAAAAAAUAUAAUAGAAGAGUAUAUAAAGCAAAAAAUAACAAAAGAUGAAUCUCAUUUUUUGUUAAAUUAAACUAAAUCAAAGGGUUAUAUUAACAGAAGAAAAUAAUCCAUAAAAAAUAAAUAAACACUAAAAUGGUACAAAAAGAAAAAAAAAAAAAAAAAAAAAUAAGAAAAAGUAAUAAAAAAAAUAUUUUUUAAUUAAAAAAUAGAAUGAAAGGGGGUAUUAAAUAAAAAUAAAAAUAAAAAUAAAAAUUUAAACGGUUGCAAAAAGAGAGAGAGGGGGGGGGGAGGGAGAGAGGUGGGGAGAGGAUGCGAUGAGAGAGAGGGGGGCAUUUUGGUCAUUCUAAGGAGACAAGGGAGAAAGAAAAGUGAUGUCAAGGGAGUCAGGGUCAGUUAAUUUUUCAAAUUUAGGGAGGGUCACUGUAAUAGAUUCAAACGUCAGGAUGGAUACUUUGUUAUUAUAAGUCUAAAACUCAGGGCGAGAGGUCAGGUAAUUCUCCCAAAAUAUUAUAUAUGGGCGUGUGGAAAGAAGAAAAGUUGAAUGAAGUUGGAAUUCUAUUUGGCAACCUAUAAUUGCCAAUGGGUCAAAGUUGGAAACAUAAUUUUCUAAGUCUAAGGCCCUGUUUGAUAACCCGCAUGAGUGGGAGGAUUGGACUAAUAGUCCGGCGGACCCCAUUAUUUUGGUGUUUGAUUUGGCCAUUUAUCAUAGUACUAAUAGUCCGGUCGGACUAUUAAUUAUACCCCAAAAUGGUAGUAUUGUUAAUACCACGGGGAUAUAGUAUUAACAAUACCACUACUCCAUGGGCUCAAAUUGAUAAAAUUACCCUUGAUAUUUGUAGAUUUGUGUAAUUAAAAGGUAAAUAUAAAAUUUUAUGAAAUUUUUUUAUGAAUUUUUAGAUACUAUUGACUACAUUACCCUUAAUAUUUAUUAAUCUCACUGUCUAAUCCCGUGCAAAUCAAACACCCUGAUCGGAUUAUUGCCCUCAUUACUAAUUUUUACUUAUUAUCAAUCUCAAUUAUAAUCUCAUCUCGUUAUUAAUCCUACCGAUCUUAUCACACUUAUCAAACGGUGCCUAAGAUCUCAUCCUUGUCAAAGGCUGGACUUGCUGCGGAUUGAGAGGGACUUCGGAUUAAUCAAUGUUUUGAUGCUGACAGAGCUUUACUAUAUGCAUGUAUACGUGCAUAUAAUAUCUUAAACAGUUUAAAAGAUCCUGUUCUCGUACGCUUAGUUUGGGAUAAAUUAAAUCUAUAGUCGAUUAUUUUUGCCUUUUUAGUAAAAAAAUUAUUAUUUUUUUGGUCAAAGUUUUUAUUUUUCUGGUUCAUAUUGAUUAGAGGAUUAGAAAAGUGAAAAAAUAAAUAUUAAAAAAAUAAUUAAAUUCAAAAUUAGAUUAUUCUUAUGUUUUUUACUUUACUAAUUUCUCUUAUCAAAAUGAACCAGGAAAAAAGGUAAAAAAAAAAACGUUAACGAAAAGAUUUAAAAAAAAAAUCAUUUUUAUCCGAAUUUAGGCUUUAUUAGUCUUUCCGUUGACAACCUAGACCUUUUCGGAAUUUUUAAGUGGACGUAUAAUAAUUGCAUUUAAAUUUAAUAAUGUAGUGUUAACAUUUUUAGAUUCUAAAAUACAUUAAUGGGUGUUUUGCAUUAAGAGUGAUAUUAUUGUAAAUAAGAUUAUAUUUGU